GGUCGCUUAGCUCAGUUGGUUAGAGCGUGGUGCUAAUAGCAUACUAAGCUAGAACACGCCAAGGUCGCAGGUUCGACCCCUGCAGUGAUCA